rnacentral:rRNA from 1 species
UACGUAGGGUGCAAGCGUUGUCCGGAAUUAUUGGGAGUAAAGAGCUUGUAGGCGGUUUGUCGCGUCUGCUGUGAAAUUUCGGGGCUCAACCCCGAACUUGCAGUGGGUACGGGCAGACUAGAGUGUGGUAGGGGAGACUGGAAUUCCUGGUGUAGCGGUGAAAUGCGCAGAUAUCAGGAGGAACACCGAUGGCGAAGGCAGGUCUCUGGGCCACUACUGACGCUGAGAAGCGAAAGCAUGGGGAGCGAACAGG